rnacentral:piRNA from 1 species
UUGUUCAAAAAUAGGAAAUGA